GAGCUGAGAUUCCUCCUACCUAGAAAUCGUAAUGUAGACAUGUUACGGAUUGGUUGUCAAGAGCUGGAAGGCUGAGGAUCUCAGGGUGAUGAAGCUACGGAGAAUUCGUUUCAAGGCAAUUGGAUCGGAACACGUUAACUUGCAGAUUUCACGCCCAAUGCGCUGGAAACACUGCCUUGAAUUUGAAUGUUUACUUCUACAAAGUAAUUAAUCAGCCACUUUGAGAUUGCCAGUCUUUUAUUUAAUAUCUUAAUCCUUAUCGUGGUGCGACGUAUCUUCCUUAGAGGCGAUGCUCGGCCGUCUUUGUUCCCAAAAUGUUUGUUCGACGGGUCAUAUUUCACCGAAUCUCGAAAUGCCAACUCCCAACACUUUUUGGAGAGCCCAGAACCCUAAACCCGAGGACAAAGAGUCAGCUGAUGCUCACAACCGGAUUGUUGAGUGAUGUAGCUGGCACAGCUACUAGCUGAUGAUGUUAGCGUUUGUUUGGCCAGUAAGCAUAUCAACUUGCGGGUUCGACGUGAUUCUUCGACAGGCGCCGGUAUGAGACGGUAAAGUCGAAGAAGGCCCACUUGGGAUGGAAUGCUCUCAUCAACGAGAGAUGAACAAAGAACUUGAACAAUUCACAGAAUGGUCCUCUUCAGCUCAUCUUCAUGGAAUGUUAAUGCAUAUUGCUCUCCCAGGUAUUUGAGAGCCUUUUACAACCAUAUCUAGAAUUAACUCCACCUCCUCCUCCUUCCCUCUUCCAAAAAGCACUUGGAAAUAGCGUAUAUUGAAUCGAAGUGCGAUUCAUGGCUUCAAAAAGGAAUCCGUAGAUCACGAGCUUCCAGAUUUGUAUAUUUGGUAAAUACUUGGUAGUUUUAUUGAAUCGUUGUCCAAUCGCGAUUUUCUCCCUCUCCUUUGCGUGUGGCUAAGUGUGUGGUUUGAAAAAAAUAUGAAGAGAAAAAUAAUUGUAAAUAAACCACGCUCUAAAAACCUCA